rnacentral:misc_RNA from 1 species
CAACCCUCAAGCAUUGCUUGGUGUUGGGGCACUGCUUUUUUACCGAAAAGCAGGCCCUGAAAUCUAGUGGCGAGCUCGCCAGGACCCCGAGCGCAGUAGUUAAACCCUCGCUCUGGAAGGCCCUGGCGGUGCCCUGCCGUUAAACCCCCAACUUCUGAAA